UUGAACGCUGGCGGAAUGCUUUACACAUGCAAGUCGAGCGGCAGCGCGGGGCAACCUGGCGGCGAGCGGCGAACGGGUGAGUAAUAUAUCGGAACGUACCCUGUCGUGGGGGAUAACACAUCGAAAGAUGUGCUAAUACCGCAUACGACCUGAGGGUGAAAGCGGGGGAUCGCAAGACCUCGCGCGAUAGGAGCGGCCGAUAUCGGAUUAGCUAGUUGGUGAGGUAAAGGCUCACCAAGGCGACGAUCCGUAGCUGGUCUGAGAGGACGACCAGCCACACUGGAACUGAGACACGGUCCAGACUCCUACGGGAGGCAGCAGUGGGGAAUUUUGGACAAUGGGGGAAACCCUGAUCCAGCCAUUCCGCGUGAGUGAAGAAGGCCUUCGGGUUGUAAAGCUCUUUCAGCAGGAACGAAACGGUCGGCUUUAAUAAAGUCGGCUAAUGACGGUACCUGCAGAAGAAGCACCGGCUAACUACGU
rnacentral:rRNA from 1 species